rnacentral:rRNA from 1 species
UACGUAGGUGGCAAGCGUUGUUCGGAAUUAUUGGGCGUAAAGGGCGCGUAGGCGGUUUGUUAAGUCGGCUGUGAAAGCCCGGGGCUCAACCCCGGAGGGUCAGCCGAUACUGGCAGGCUAGAGUACAGAAGAGGUAACUGGAAUUCCCGGUGUAGCGGUGAAAUGCGUAGAGAUCGGGAGGAACACCAGUGGCGAAGGCGGCCUUCUGGACCAGUACUGACGCUGAGGAGCGAAAGCGUGGGGAGCGAACAGG